UAAUCUACCCCAGAAUCUGGAAUAACCUGCCGAAAGGCGGGCUAAUACUGGAUAGAGCGACGGAAUCCGUAAUUGGGUUUUUCGGGAAAGGGAGCUCGCAAGAGCCCUCGUUUUGGGAUGAGCCUGCGUCUCAUUAGCUAGUUGGUGGGGUAAAAGCCCACCAAGGCAUUGAUGAGUAGCUGGUCUGAGAGGAUGAUCAGCCACACUGGAACUGAAACACGGUCCAG
rnacentral:rRNA from 1 species